GGUGUACAAGGUGAAGAUGCCAUAGAAGUCUACUGCUCGGUACUCAUGACUACUUAUGUCAAGUGCAGCAGAAAAACGAUGAACUUGACAUUCAAAAAAAUUUUUUUUUCUGUUUUUUGUGCUUGUUGGAGGGUACUUUUUGGAGAGAAGGCAUGGAGGAUAGGACAGGCUUAUGGGACUGCGCUGGGGGCCAGGAGGGGAGGAAGCAGGUUGACAGGGCUCAGCUCUACAGCUGGGGAGGGCCCCACAGCCUCAGAGAGACCUCCGCGGGGGAGCCAGGACCUGGGGGCGCCCAGCUUCCUCCUGACAUUUCCCCAAAGCCACUGCUGGAUGGCGAGGUGACCCCCCCUCCCGGCCUGGGAUUCAGGAUCCCACUGAGGGUCUGACAGCCAGAACUCCCGGAAAAGGGUGGAGCCAGAAGAGCCCGGCCCCAGCUCCCCCCGCCCGCCCGGUGGUCACAGGAUGCAGGGGGAGAAUCUGGUGGCCAUGGGGUUAGUGGCUCCAGAUGUCACCUCGCUGAGGGAAACCUGACGCUAGUGGGUGAGUGAGGGGGGACCAGGCCGGGGAGGCACCAAAGGGGUCGGCCUCAGAGGGCAGGGGCUGGGGAGGGCAGGCCAGAGACUGAGGCUGGGGCACCCCGCAGGGCCACCAUCCCCAGGAGCCAUGAGAGCCGCGCCUGUCCUGUGGCUGGCCGUCCUGCUGUGCCAGGAGCGAGCGCGGAGCCUGCUGUGCUACACCUGCCCCGGGGCGCCCAGCGACAGCCUGUGCCCGCCCACCCAGUGCCUGAGGCCUGGCAUCUGCUUCGACAGUAACAUAACCACGACCUCGAGCGGUGGUGAGUCCCCAGCACCCAGAGCCCGGGGGCAGCUCGGGGAGCUGUGCUUGAGGCUCCCCCAGCCAAUCAGAGGAGUGUGGGUUUGGCAGGGACUAGGGUCCCGCCUGCCUCAGUGUCCCCAUCCACGCAGAGGGGCUGGCCUUCCUGGGGAGCCGAUGGGACUGCACAGAGGAUUGGGGGGCCAUGCGCCCCAGGGAGUGGGUGACCCAGGAUGACUCCAGGAGGGUGGGAGGGCACCUCUCACACCGGGGCUCCUUGCCCACAGGAAUGCAGGUGAGGUCAAAGUACAAGGGGUGUGCUCCCUCCUGCAAGGAAGCUAAGGAGACCCUGCAGUGGAUUUUCCGGAUGAGUAGCCUGGACCAGCUGGACCAGCUGGACCCCAGCCUACCCAAGUCUGAACUGCAGAGUUUGACGUGCUGUGAAAAGGACCUCUGUAAUAGGGGGGCGCAGGCCCUGGGCCCCUGCGGGGGGCUGCUGCUCAGCCUAGCACCCGCCUCCCUCUGGGCCCUGCUGUGAGCAGCCCUGACCCCAGCACAGAGGGCAGACUUCCACGCAGCGUGCACACGAAGCAAGCUCGCUGCCCCGCACACUCACGCACUCGCAAGCGCACACGCGGACACUGCAGACCCUGUAGACCCUCAGCCGCUCCCGCCCAACCUCCCUGGCACCCAGUGCCCUGCUAGGCCAACAGGCCUGUCCCCCUUUGCAGACACCAUCAGUUAACCACUGACCCAAGAUGCAGAGCCUGUCGCGCCCUGGCCCUGACCAGACGUGACCUCUAGGACAGCAAAGCCCACAGCCCAGCCCGGGGACGGCCAACACUGUGCCAGCCGGGGCCGGAGAGAAUAAACACUUUCGACAUCGUCCUGUUCUUGGCUUGCAGUUCUGCCCCACGAGGGGAGGGUGGGUGGCGCCUGGGGCCUGCCUGGGAGGGGGACUUCCCUACCUCUUGGUUUUCCCUCAGCCAGGGGGGGCGCCCAUGGCCCCAGGGUCUAGGAGCAGUGGUCAAUUCUGGAGCCCCCCCCUCCCGCGAGGCACAGUAGGGU
rnacentral:lncRNA from 1 species